UGGCUCAGUGGAUAGAGCAUCGGCCUGCGGACCGAAGGGUCCCGGGUUCGAUUCCCGG
rnacentral:tRNA from 1 species